rnacentral:misc_RNA from 1 species
AAUUUGACAAAUAAAGCUUCCUUCUCAUUCUUGCUGAAAACAGCCUCUUUGAGCUUGCUGUAAAAAUAUGUAUUAAAGAAGUGAUAAUCACACCUUUCUCCAUCUGCGGGAGAUUUUUUCUGCUGGAGAUGCCGAAUGUAGAAAUUCAUUAUAGUAGAGGACAGAUAUGCUUCAGGAGCAAGAGAUUCCAUAUCUGAGUAAUAGAUUUCGACUGCUUCAGGAUCAUCCCUUGAAGGAAAGUAUAUCUUGGUUGCCUUUGUGCUCUCGACCACAUGAUGUGCUUGCUGUCUUGGUUCAACAACAUCAGGUUCCUCCUCAUCCAGUAGAACAACAGCCUCAUCAUUUGCAUGCCUCAAAGUACAGACAGAAUGGGCUUGAGAAGGUUUCCACUCUUUCCUGACACGGCUAGAGAAACUUUCUUCAGAAUAACGAGGAGAAGAAGUAGAAAUAUCUCUCGUCUUUCCAUUAGCAUAAAAUUCUCGAUCAUCUAUAUAUAGAGGGGACUUAAAAGGUGCUUCUCGUGCAGACAAUUCUGUCUUACAUCUUCUUCUUGGAGAAAACUUUUUGGUUAAUAUCCUUUUGCGGCCACACGUAUUCAGA